CAAGAUUUAUUUUAAGCUAGGAGUUGGAAACUUCGUAAAACGAUAUAUUAUUAAAAAACAAGAAAACUAAUUUCAGCGUUUUUGAAAAUUCAUCCCCUAAGGUGGUGAAAAAGGAGUUGAAAGUUUGUAUGGAGAUCAAA